rnacentral:rRNA from 1 species
AAAUUGAAGAGUUUGAUCAUGGCUCAGAUUGAACGCUGGCGGCAGGCCUAACACAUGCAAGUCGAGCGGUAGCACAGAGAGCUUGCUCUCGGGUGACGAGCGGCGGACGGGUGAGUAAUGUCUGGGAAACUGCCUGAUGGAGGGGGAUAACUACUGGAAACGGUAGCUAAUACCGCAUAAUGUCGCAAGACCAAAGUGGGGGACCUUCGGGCCUCAUGCCAUCAGAUGUGCCCAGAUGGGAUUAGCUAGUAGGUGGGGUAAUGGCUCACCUAGGCGACGAUCCCUAGCUGGUCUGAGAGGAUGACCAGCCACACUGGAACUGAGACACGGUCCAGACUCCUACGGGAGGCAGCAGUGGGGAAUAUUGCACAAUGGGCGCAAGCCUGAUGCAGCCAUGCCGCGUGUGUGAAGAAGGCCUUCGGGUUGUAAAGCACUUUCAGCGGGGAGGAAGGCGAUAAGGUUAAUAACCUUGUCGAUUGACGUUACCCGCAGAAGAAGCACCGGCUAACUCCGUGCCAGCAGCCGCGGUAAUACGGAGGGUGCAAGCGUUAAUCGGAAUUACUGGGCGUAAAGCGCACGCAGGCGGUCUGUCAAGUCGGAUGUGAAAUCCCCGGGCUUAACCUGGGAACUGCAUUCGAAACUGGCAGGCUAGAGUCUUGUAGAGGGGGGUAGAAUUCCAGGUGUAGCGGUGAAAUGCGUAGAGAUCUGGAGGAAUACCGGUGGCGAAGGCGGCCCCCUGGACAAAGACUGACGCUCAGGUGCGAAAGCGUGGGGAGCAAACAGGAUUAGAUACCCUGGUAGUCCACGCCGUAAACGAUGUCGAUUUGGAGGUUGUGCCCUUGAGGCGUGGCUUCCGGAGCUAACGCGUUAAAUCGACCGCCUGGGGAGUACGGCCGCAAGGUUAAAACUCAAAUGAAUUGACGGGGGCCCGCACAAGCGGUGGAGCAUGUGGUUUAAUUCGAUGCAACGCGAAGAACCUUACCUGGUCUUGACAUCCACAGAACUUAGCAGAGAUGCUUUGGUGCCUUCGGGAACUGUGAGACAGGUGCUGCAUGGCUGUCGUCAGCUCGUGUUGUGAAAUGUUGGGUUAAGUCCCGCAACGAGCGCAACCCUUAUCCUUUGUUGCCAGCGGUCCGGCCGGGAACUCAAAGGAGACUGCCAGUGAUAAACUGGAGGAAGGUGGGGAUGACGUCAAGUCAUCAUGGCCCUUACGACCAGGGCUACACACGUGCUACAAUGGCAUAUACAAAGAGAAGCGACCUCGCGAGAGCAAGCGGACCUCAUAAAGUAUGUCGUAGUCCGGAUUGGAGUCUGCAACUCGACUCCAUGAAGUCGGAAUCGCUAGUAAUCGUAGAUCAGAAUGCUACGGUGAAUACGUUCCCGGGCCUUGUACACACCGCCCGUCACACCAUGGGAGUGGGUUGCAAAAGAAGUAGGUAGCUUAACCUUCGGGAGGGCGCUUACCACUUUGUGAUUCAUGACUGGGGUGAAGUCGUAACAAGGUAACCGUAGGGGAACCUGCGGUUGGAUCACCUCCUUACCUUAAAGAA